rnacentral:rRNA from 1 species
UUCCGGUUGAUCCCGCCAGACCUGACUGCUAUCGGAUUGAUACUAAGCCAUGCGAGUCAUUGUAGCAAUACAAGGCAUACGGCUCAGUAACGCGUAGUCAACCUAACCUAUGGACGGGAAUAACCUCGGGAAACUGAGAAUAAUGCCCGAUAGAACAUUAUACCUGGAAUGGUUUAUGUUCCAAAUGAUUUAUCGCCGUAGGAUGGGACUGCGGCCUAUCAGUUUGUUGGUGAGGUAAUGGCCCACCAAGACUAUUACAGGUACGGGCUCUGAGAGGAGUAGCCCGGAGAUGGGUACUGAGACACGGACCCAGGCCCUAUGGGGCGCAGCAGGCGAGAAAACUUUGCAAUGUGCGAAAGCACGACAAGGUUAAUCCGAGUGAUUUCUGCUAAAGAAAUCUUUUGUUAGUCCUAGAAACACUAACGAAUAAGGGGUGGGCAAGUUCUGGUGUCAGCCGCCGCGGUAAAACCAGCACCUCAAGUGGUCAGGAUGAUUAUUGGGCCUAAAGCAUCCGUAGCCGGCUCUGUAAGUUUUCGGUUAAAUCUGUACGCUUAACGUACAGGCCGCCGGGAAUACUGCAAAGCUAGGGAGUGGGAGAAGUAGACGGUACUCGGUAGGAAGUGGUAAAAUGCUUUGAUCUAUCGAUGACCACCUGUGGCGAAGGCGGUCUACUAGAACACGUCCGACGGUGAGGGAUGAAAGCUGGGGGAGCAAACCGGAUUAGAUACCCGGGUAGUCCCAGCUGUAAACUAUGCAAACUCAGUGAUGCAUUGGCUUGUGGCCAAUGCAGUGCUGCAGGGAAGCCGUUAAGUUUGCCGCCUGGGAAGUACGUACGCAAGUAUGAAACUUAAAGGAAUUGGCGGGGGAGCACCACAAGGGGUGAAGCCUGCGGUUCAAUUGGAUUCAACGCCGGGG